rnacentral:misc_RNA from 1 species
UCCGAUUUGUCACCGGCAGUCUCCUAUGAGUUUUCGGUAUAUGUCAAGCCUUGGUAAGGUUCUUCGCGUUGCGUCGAAUUAAGCCACAUGCUCCGCCGCUUGUGCGGGCCCCCGUCAAUUCCUUUGAGUUUUAGCCUUGCGGCCGUACUCCCCAGGCGGGGCGCUUAAUGCGUUAGCUGCGGCACGGAGAACGUGGAAGGUUCCCCACACCUAGCGCCCAACGUUUACGGCGUGGACUAC